GGAAACUUGGAAACUACCGUUGGAUAAAAAAAUGAACGUCCGAGAUUCUUCCACAUCACUAUGAGUAAAAGUUUUACUCAUAUUUUUAUCCAUGAGUGAAUCUGUGAGUAAAAUUUUUACUUGUGAUAACGUGGACGAAUCUAGGACGUCAAUUUUUCGAUCCAACGAUGGUUUCCAAGCUUUC
rnacentral:pre_miRNA from 1 species